AAAAAUAAAUAAAAAAAAAACAGUAGGCUACAUUCAAAUAGCUGUAGACAGGUUACGUAGCUACGCACGCGCUAAUGCUACGUCACCAGGCGGAACCCAACUCGCCCCAACAUAAACAAAGCAGGCCUCCUGCUUACGAGUGGUCAAAUAGUUUCAUUCAUCCCAAAUUUUCUUAGAUUGAUUAUGCGUAUGGAUGUGAGACUCCAUUUAAUAGGUCUCCUAUUUUUCCUGUUUGAGCCAGUCACCAUGGAAGUGUCUGUGGUGGGAUAUGUGGGAGGUGACGUUGUUCUGCCAUGUUCACACAGUGGCCCAAAUGUCAGUGUUACUUUAUCCGAC